UACGUAGGGUGCGAGCGUUGUCCGGAUUUAUUGGGCGUAAAGGGCGCGUAGGCGGCUCGGCACGUCCGUUGUGAAAUCGCCCGGCUCAACUGGGCGGGGUCGGUGGAUACGGCCGAGCUGGAGCAAGCUAGGGGGUAAUGGAAUUCCCGGUGUAGUGGUGGAAUGCGUAGAUAUCGGGAGGAACACCAGUGGCGAAGGCGGUUACCUGGAGCUUUGCUGACGCUGAUGCGCGAAAGCGUGGGGAGCGAUCCGG
rnacentral:rRNA from 1 species